GAUGAACGCUGGCGGUAUGCUUAACACAUGCAAGUCGAACGGACUCUUCGGAGUUAGUGGCGGACGGGUGAGUAACGCGUGAGAAUCUGGCUUUGGGUUCGGGACAACCACUGGAAACGGUGGCUAAUACCGGAUGUGCCGAGAGGUAAAAGAGAAAUUGCCUGAAGAUGAGCUCGCGUCUGAUUAGCUAGUUGGUGAGGUAAAGGCUCACCAAGGCAGCGAUCAGUAGCUGGUCUGAGAGGAUGACCAGCCACACUGGGACUGACACACGGCCCAGACUCCUACGGGAGGCAGCAGUGGGGAAUUUUCCGCAAUGGGCGAAAGCCUGACGGAGCAAUACCGCGUGAGGGAAGAAGGCUCUUGGGUUGUAAACCUCUUUUCUUAGGGAAGAACAAAAUGACGGUACCUAAGGAAUCAGCAUCGGCUAACUCCGUG
rnacentral:rRNA from 1 species